AAGUAGUAAGGUUGUUAAGAUUGAAACUUAAAGGAAUUGACGGAAGGAUAAAACCAUCAAGAAUUGGAAUCUGUGAUUGACUUAAUUUGAUUCAACAUGAGGAAACUUACCAGGUCUCUAGACCUAGUAAUAAGGAUUGAUAAAUUGAGGGUUCUUUUUUGAUUCUAUGGAUGAUAGUGCACGGUUAUUCUUAGUUGAUAGAGCGAUUUGUAUGGUUAAUUUCGGUAACGAACGAGAUCUUAACUUGUUAAAUAAUUACACAAAUCUUAUAUUCUUGGGCUAACUUUUUAAAGGGAUUAGAGAUUUUUAAUCUAUGGUAGUUUUAAGGAAAUAAUAGGUCUUUAAUGAUAUUCUGAGCCGAACAAACAUACGCUUUACAUUGAUGAAGUCAAUAAGUGUAGCAUCCUUGAUUGGAAGGGUCCAAGUAAUUUUUUGAAAUUUCAUUAUGUUUGGGGAUAGUUCCUUACCCAAUUUUUGGACUUCAAUGAAGAAUUCCUAGUAAGUAUAACUCAUCAAUACCUGUUGAUUACAUUCCUAUCCCCCUUUUUGUAUA
rnacentral:ncRNA from 1 species